rnacentral:rRNA from 1 species
GGCGUGCUUAACACAUGCAAGUCGAACGAAGCACUUAUGACAGAUUCUUCGGAAGAUGGAUUAAGUGACUGAGUGGCGGACGGGUGAGUAACGCGUGGGUAACCUGCCUCAUACAGGGGGAUAACAGUUAGAAAUGACUGCUAAUACCGCAUAAGCGCACAGUACCGCAUGGUACAGUGUGAAAAACUCCGGUGGUAUGAGAUGGACCCGCGUCUGAUUAGCUAGUUGGUGGGGUAACGGCCCACCAAGGCGACGAUCAGUAGCCGACCUGAGAGGGUGACCGGCCACAUUGGGACUGAGACACGGCCCAAACUCCUACGGGAGGCAGCAGUGGGGAAUAUUGCACAAUGGGCGAAAGCCUGAUGCAGCGACGCCGCGUGAGCGAAGAAGUAUUUCGGUAUGUAAAGCUCUAUCAGCAGGGAAGAAAAUGACGGUACCUGACUAAGAAGCACCGGCUAAAUACGUGCCAGCAGCCGCGGUAAUACGUAUGGUGCAAGCGUUAUCCGGAUUUACUGGGUGUAAAGGGAGCGUAGACGGCUCAGUAAGUCUGAAGUGAAAGCCCGGGGCUCAACCCCGGGACUGCUUUGGAAACUAUUGGGCUAGAGUGCCGGAGAGGUAAGCGGAAUUCCUAGUGUAGCGGUGAAAUGCGUAGAUAUUAGGAGGAACACCAGUGGCGAAGGCGGCUUACUGGACGGUAACUGACGUUGAGGCUCGAAAGCGUGGGGAGCAAACAGGAUUAGAUACCCUGGUAGUCCACGCCGUAAACGAUGACUACUAGGUGUCGGGUAGCAAAGCUAUUCGGUGCCGCAGCAAACGCAAUAAGUAGUCCACCUGGGGAGUACGUUCGCAAGAAUGAAACUCAAAGGAAUUGACGG